rnacentral:rRNA from 1 species
CAAUGGGGGCAAGCCUGAUGCAGCCAUGCCGCGUGGAGGAUGAAGGCCUUCGGCUUGUAAAGCCCUGUCAGCGAGGAGGAAGGNNNNNGGAUUAAUACCUUGGAGGUUUGACGUUACUCGGAGAAAAAGCGCCGGCUAACUCNGUGCCAGCAGCCGCGGUAAUACGGAGGGUGCAAGCGUUAAUCGGAAUUACUGGGCGUAAAGCGCGCGUAGGGGGUUAGGUUAAGUCGGAUGUGAAAUCCCCGGGCUCAACCUGGGAACUGCAUUCGAAACUGGCAAGCUAGAGUAUGGUAGAGGGGGGUGGAAUUCCNNGUGUAGCGGUGAAAUGCGUA